rnacentral:rRNA from 1 species
CAGUCGCCGCGGUAAUACGUAGGGCGCAAGCGUUAUCCGGAAUUAUUGGGCGUAAAGAGCUCGUAGGCGGUUUGUCGCGUCUGCCGUGAAAGUCCGGGGCUCAACCCCGGAUCUGCGGUGGGUACGGGCAGACUAGAGUGAUGUAGGGGAGACUGGAAUUCCUGGUGUAGCGGUGAAAUGCGCAGAUAUCAGGAGGAACACCGAUGGCGAAGGCAGGUCUCUGGGCAUUAACUGACGCUGAGGAGCGAAAGCAUGGGGAGCGAACAGGAUUAGAUACCCGCGUAGUCCCUGUCUCUUAUCC